UGGGGAAUUUUGGACAAUGGGGGAAACCCUGAUCCAGCAAUGCCGCGUGUGCGAAGAAGGCCUUCGGGUUGUAAAGCACUUUUGUCAGGGAAGAAAUCCUUCGGGCUAAUACCCUAGGGGGAUGACGGUACCUGAAGAAUAAGCACCGGCUAACUACGUGCCAGCAGCCGCGGUAAUACGUAGGGUGCAUGCGUUAAUCGGAAUUACUGGGCGUAAAGCGUGCGCAGGCGGUUGUGUAAGACAGGUGUGAAAUCCCCGGGCUUAACCUGGGAAUUGCAUUUGUGACUGCACGACUAGAGUGUGUCAGAGGGGGGUGGAAUUCCACGUGUAGCAGUGAAAUGCGUAGAUAUGUGGAGGAACACCAAUGGCGAAGGCAGCCCCCUGGGAUAACACUGACGCUCAUGCACGAAAGCGUGGGGAGCAAACAGGAUUAGAUACCCUGGUAGUCCACGCCCUAAACGAUGUCAACUAGUUGUUGGGGAUUUACUUCCUUGGUAACGUAGCUAACGCGUGAAGUUGACCGCCUGGGGAGUACGGCCGCAAGGUUAA
rnacentral:rRNA from 1 species